GACGAACGCUGGCGGCGUGCUUAACACAUGCAAGUCGAACGGAAAGGCCCUGCUUUUGUGGGGUGCUCGAGUGGCGAACGGGUGAGUAACACGUGAGUAACCUGCCCUUGACUUUGGGAUAACUUCAGGAAACUGGGGCUAAUACCGGAUAGGAGCUCCUGCUGCAUGUUGGGGGUUGGAAAGUUUCGGCGUUUGGGGAUGGACUCGCGGCUUAUCAGCUUGUUGGUGGGGUAUUGGCUUACCAAGGCUUUGACGGGUAGCCGGCCUGAGAGGGUGACCGGCGACAAUGGGACUGAGAUACGGACCAGACUCCUACGGGAGGCAGCAGUGGGGAAUAUUGCACAAUGGGCGGAAGCCUGAUGCAGCAACGCCGCGUGCGGGAUGACGGCCUUCGGGUUGUAAACCGAUUUCGCCGGUGACGAAGCGUGAGUGACGGUAAUGGGUAAAGAAGCACCGGCUAACUACGUG
rnacentral:rRNA from 1 species